UUAGGGUUAGAGUUAGGGUUUAAGGUUAGGGGAGAUGAAUGUUUUUUUCGGUAUUCAAUGAUUAUUUUUCACUUUUAUGUUCAAUUUAUCUGCAAUUUUCUUUUUGUAUUACAUGGAUGACCCCGCUCCAUUUACAAGUAGCGCGCGUCCGUGCGCUUCGUUGUUUACCUCUGUGUUAAAAUCAACUAGUAGCGCACAUCCGCGCGUCUCGUCGUUUGCCAUGUGUGCUAAAUUCGACUACUUACAACUAACGCUCGCACGCGCAAAUUUGUGACAUGCGCAUUCUCAGAACUCAGGUCCACACUUCUGUAGUACCCAAAUUUUUUACAAACAAGAUGAAGUUUUCUAAUUUCGGUAUCAAAACAAACAAAUGUUCAAUAAUAAU